UGGUACAAUAUUUUUGGUACGAGUACAUUUAAAAGAUAAAUUUUAAUAUGGAAAAGGGAGUUUAUUCGAGGCGAGUCAGAGCAGUGGAUAGGAAGAAAAUGAUACUGAAAUAUUUCGUGUAUUUAGCCCUGACCUUUACAUUGGUGUAUUCUGCUUAUAAUCCAAAGAAACAUAUUUCUCGUGCAAAAGUGAUUAAAGCAACGCUAACGGGUCCUUGCCAAGUUGGAGACAAAGGAAGGUGUAAGAAUAUCUACGGAAAAUGUAGGGGAACUAAGUAUCAAGUUGCAGAAUGUGAAUUGCCAUCAGUUUGCUGUGUCAGGGCGAGAGCUCAAUUUAAGAGAAUUGAGGGCUUAGAUUCUAGCUAUUUUGAAUGAUUUUGAUGCUGAUUCAAUAAAGAUGAGCUGAGCUAUUGGUUCUGUUGUCUAAAAAUAAAAUACAUACAAUUCA